GACCCAGUGGUGAAAGGAAUCACACUUGCAUUCCAUGAUUGCCGUCGUGGUAUAUAAGCAGGAGCUCCCGGUUCGAAUCCGGGUUGGGUCA